rfam:Flavobacterium haoranii strain DSM 22807 genome assembly, contig: Ga0131240_101
UAUCUUUGCACCCAUGUUGAGAAAAUCUCAAUCUACAUAAAAAUUAUUAAACAAUAUUGGCAUG